UGGUUAGCAUAGCUGCCUUCCAAG
rnacentral:miRNA from 1 species